GGUGAACGCUAGCUACAGGCUUAACACAUGCAAGUCGAGGGGCAGCGGUAUCGAAAGCUUGCUUUCGGUAGCCGGCGACCGGCGCACGGGUGAGUAACGCGUAUCGAACCUGCCUCAUACUCGGGAAUAGCCUUGCGAAAGUAAGAUUAAUGCCCGGUGUUUUCAGAGUCCCGCAUGAGGCUUUGAACAAAGAUUUAUCGGUAUGAGAUGGCGAUGCGUCCCAUUAGCUUGUUGGCGGGGUAACGGCCCACCAAGGCAUCGAUGGGUAGGGGUUCUGAGAGGAAGGUCCCCCACAUUGGAACUGAGACACGGUCCAAACUCCUACGGGAGGCAGCAGUGAGGAAUAUUGGUCAAUGGGCGGAAGCCUGAACCAGCCAAGUAGCGUGCAGGAAGACGGCCCUCCGGGUUGUAAACUGCUUUUAGUUGGGAAUAAAACGGGGCUCGUGAGCCCCCUUGCAUGUACCAUCAGAAAAAGGACCGGCUAAUUCCGUG
rnacentral:rRNA from 1 species